CUACUUACCCGGCAGAACAGAAACCGUGAUCAGAAGGUGGUUUCCAAGGGUGGGCUUCCUCCAUUGCACGAGGGAUGUGCCGAUUCACGUAUCAUGCCUGUGAUUCUCCCAGAUGUGGGAAACUCCACUGUGAUUUGUGGUAGCUGGGGACUGCGUUCAUGCUUUCCUCUA
ensembl:snRNA U1 U1 spliceosomal RNA